rnacentral:rRNA from 1 species
UACGUAGGGUCCAAGCGUUAAUCGGAAUUACUGGGCGCAAAGCGUGCGCAGGCGGUUGUGCAAGACCGAUGUGAAAUCCCCGAGCUUAACUUGGGAAUUGCAUUGGUGACUGCACGGCUAGAGUGUGUCAGAGGGGGGUAGAAUUCCACGUGUAGCAGUGAAAUGCGUAGAGAUGUGGAGGAAUACCGAUGGCGAAGGCAGCCCCCUGGGAUAACACUGACGCUCAUGCACGAAAGCGUGGGGAGCAAACAGG